rnacentral:rRNA from 2 species
CAGAAUGCUACGGUGAAUACGUUCCCGGGCCUUGUACACACCGCCCGUCACACCAUGGGAGUGGGUUGCAAAAGAAGUAGGUAGCUUAACCUUCGGGAGGGCGCUUACCACUUUGUGAUUCAUGACUGGGGUGAAGUCGUAACAAGGUAACCGUAGGGGAACCUGCGGUUGGAUCACCUCCUUACCUUAAAGAA